UACAGAGGUCUCAAGCGUUGUUCGGAUUCAUUGGGCGUAAAGGGUGCGUAGGCGGCGCGGUAAGUCGGGUGUGAAAUCUCGGAGCUUAACUCCGAAACUGCAUUCGAUACUGCCGUGCUUGAGGACUGGAGAGGAGACUGGAAUUUACGGUGUAGCGGUGAAAUGCGUAGAUAGUCGGAAGGAACACCAGUGGCGAAGGCGGCUACCUGGAUUGACACUGACACUGGAGGCGACGAGAGCGUGGGGGAGCAAACAGG
rnacentral:rRNA from 1 species